rnacentral:rRNA from 1 species
AUGGAGGUUUGGCUUAGCGAGUUGUUCGCCGUCCCGGCGACGGCAAAGAGGGCGCGCUCCUUGGUACUGCUGCUGAUCUGGGAAAUUUGGCGGGAGCGCAAUGAUCGCAUCUUCCGGAACGUGGAGUGCUCACCUGCAUCGGUCCUUUUCAGAGUUGACGAAGAGAGGAUCUCCUGGGCGCUGGCGGGAGGCCGGCACUUGAUGAUGCGAGAGUAG